UCUCCGUUGGUGAACCAGCGGAGGGAUCAUUACAGGACUCGCAAGACUCCUACAACCCUGUGAACUUAACUAUAAGCACGUUGCUUCGGCGGGUGUCUCGGCGAGGGUCCUCCCUCCCCGGGGCGCUAAGCCCGCCGGCAGCCUACUAUACUCUGUCUCUUUGCGUUGGCAUCUCGAGUACAAUCAAACAAGUUAAAACUUUCAACAACGGAUCUCUUGGUUCUG
rnacentral:misc_RNA from 1 species